CAGAGCCGUGUUACAAACUGCUUCCCGCUUCUGUUGUUUAGCGUUAUGUAGCUACCACGGCUGGCCAAGAGGCUGUAAAUCUUGCCUGGUGUUUUGUAACAAAGGAAAAAAUAGAAUGAUUUGUGUUGACUUUUGGUCAUCGUGUAUCAUUAUCGAUCCGGGGGAGGGCGGCGGGGAGCGCGUAGCGCGGAUCUGUUGCUCGCCGCUUCUCCGGGAAGGCGGCGUGAGCCGGCAGUCAGUAGAGGGCAAUAGAGAAAUACAGUUUGUGAUGCCUAAAGGAUUUGAAGCCCUGAUUAUGUGUUUACAGAAAAGAAAAAGAAGAAAAGAAGAGCCAGGAGGAUAGGUUGUUCAGUUUACUACCGGAGACCUGACUGUGACAGACCACCAAGAAAACAGAAUUUUCAAAGAGAGUAGAGAAGACCUUCUGCAGCAUCUGCAAGUCUGUCCUUUUUUCUUCAGAGUUACGUAGGAUAACUUAGCCAGAACUUAUUGAUGUCUGCAUGUUCAGUGGACUCGGGGAUGGACUGGGAGAUGCGGAAACGUACUCUUUGGAAGAAACAGGAGAGGAGGCAUUUCAAAGAUCCUGCAGGUGACAAAGGUGAUGAUCUGCUGACAGAAUAAAUAAAUCAUAGAAAGUGCCGAGACUGCACAGGCAUUUGCUGUGGUAUUCCUACAUGAGAAACCUUUGUCACAGUCUUUCUUCAAGUAUGUUCUCUCCUGGGGGUUCAUUAUUUUUCAGAGGAUGGGUCUUUCUGCCCUGCAGGGAUCUAUCUAUCACUGCUGACUCUCUGCAUCUUCUCCACAUGGAAGAAGUAAUUGGAUUGUAUUUUCUGCACACGACCAAGACAGCAGGGAAACCCACAGCUGUAAGCCAGAGAACCAAGCUGUCUAGAGAGCUGGGCCUGGGCCUCACCAGCAUGCCUAAUAAUGUCACCAGGACUAAGGACAUGAGGAGAAUGAGUUGUCUCAUACCCAGAAGUGAAACAUGCCAGUACAAAGAUAAAAACCAAAAGUGA
rnacentral:lncRNA from 1 species